GCUUACGGCACACCUCCCUGGAGCACGCCCUGAUCUCGUCUGAUCUCGGAAGCUAAGCAGGGUCGGACGGUUAGUACUUGGAUGGGAGACCGCCUGGGAAACCAGUGCUGUAAGCC
rnacentral:rRNA from 1 species